rfam:Corchorus olitorius cultivar O-4 contig13129, whole genome shotgun sequence.
GAGUAAACGAGAUAUUGGCACGGCUCAAUCAAAUUAAAUGACCCAAAAAAGCCUUUGGGAGAUUUGAUUUGAUUGAGCCAUUCCAACAUCCAUCCCCGUUUU